rnacentral:rRNA from 1 species
UACGUAGGGAGCAAGCGUUGUCCGGAAUCAUUGGGCGUAAAGCGCGUGUAGGCGGCUCGAUAAGUCUGCUGUAAAAGUCCAGGGCUCAACCCUGGAAAGCCGGUGGAAACUGUCGAGCUAGAGUCCGGAAGAGGCGAGUGGAAUUCCUGGUGUAGCGGUGAAAUGCGCAGAUAUCAGGAGGAACACCAAUGGCGAAGGCAGCUCGCUGGGACGGUACUGACGCUGAGACGCGAAAGCGUGGGGAGCAAACAGG